GACAGAGGUGGCUAGCGUUGUUCGGAUUCAUUGGGUGUAAAGGGUGCGUAGGCGGUUUGGAAAGUUAGAUGUGAAAGCCCACAGCUUAACUGUGGAAAUGCAUCUAAAACUUCUAGACUAGAGUGCGAGAGAGGUGAAGGGAAUUCCCGGUGUAAGGGUGAAAUCUGCAGAGAUCGGGAGGAACACCAGUAGCGAAGGCGCUUCACUGGCUCGUAACUGACGCUGAGUGCACGAAGGUAUGGGGAGCAAACGGG
rnacentral:rRNA from 1 species